UUGAGAUUAUUCAUACACGUGAACGUAAUAUGUUUGGCGCGAGCACGCUGAUAUUUUCGGUGUGAGCGCGCCGAUAAACGCAUAUAAUUGUCUGAUAGACCAAAGAAUUUAA
rnacentral:misc_RNA from 1 species